rnacentral:rRNA from 1 species
AUUGAACGCUGGCGGCAGGCCUAACACAUGCAAGUCGAGCGAGCGGCGGACGGGUGCGUAAUGUAUGGGGACUGCCCGAUAGAGGGGGAUCACUACUGGAAACGGUAGCUAAUACCGCAUACUAUCGGAUAACCCAUAGGGGAUUAGCUAGUAGGUGAGGUAAUGGCUCACCUAGGCGACGAUCCCUAGCUGGUCUGAGAGGAUGAUCAGCCACACUGGGACUGAGACACGGCCCAGACGCCUACGGAGGCAGCAGUGGGGAAUAUUGGACAAUGGGCGAAAGUCUGAUCGAGCCAGGCCGCGUGUAUGAAGAAGGCCUUCGGGUUGUAAAGUACUGUUGGUAGAGAAGCGGUAUCUACAGAGUAAGCAACGGCUAACUACGUGCCAGCAGCCGCGGUAAUAC